rnacentral:rRNA from 1 species
UUGGGCUGUUCGCCCAUUAAAGCGGUACGCGAGCUGGGUUCAGAACGUCGUGAGACAGUUCGGUCCCUAUCCGUCGUGGGCGUAGGAAAUUUGAGAGGAGCUGUCCUUAGUACGAGAGGACCGGGAUGGACAUACCUCUGGUGUACCAGUUGUCGUGCCAACGGCAUAGCUGGGUAGCUAUGUAUGGACGGGAUAAGUGCUGAAAGCAUCUAAGCAUGAAGCCCCCCUCAAGAUGAGAUUUCCCAACUUCGGUUAUAAGAUCCCUCAAAGAUGAUGAGGUUAAUAGGUUCGAGGUGGAAGCGUAGCGAUACGUGGAGCUGACGAAUACUAAUCGAUCGAAGACUUAAUCAAUUU